AGCGGCGGACGGGUGAGUAAUGCCUAGGAAUCUGCCUGGUAGUGGGGGAUAACGUCCGGAAACGGACGCUAAUACCGCAUACGUCCUACGGGAGAAAGCAGGGGACCUUCGGGCCUUGCGCUAUCAGAUGAGCCUAGGUCGGAUUAGCUAGUUGGUGAGGUAAUGGCUCACCAAGGCGACGAUCCGUAACUGGUCUGAGAGGAUGAUCAGUCACACUGGAACUGAGACACGGUCCAGACUCCUACGGGAGGCAGCAGUGGGGAAUAUUGGACAAUGGGCGAAAGCCUGAUCCAGCCAUGCCGCGUGUGUGAAGAAGGUCUUCGGAUUGUAAAGCACUUUAAGUUGGGAGGAAGGGUUGUAGAUUAAUACUCUGCAAUUUUGACGUUACCGACAGAAUAAGCACCGGCUAACUCUGUGCCAGCAGCCGCGGUAAUACAGAGGGUGCAAGCGUUAAUCGGAAUUACUGGGCGUAAAGCGCGCGUAGGUGGUUUGUUAAGUUGGAUGUGAAAGCCCCGGGCUCAACCUGGGAACUGCAUUCAAAACUGACAAGCUAGAGUAUGGUAGAGGGUGGUGGAAUUUCCUGUGUAGCGGUGAAAUGCGUAGAUAUAGGAAGGAACACCAGUGGCGAAGGCGACCACCUGGACUGAUACUGACACUGAGGUGCGAAAGCGUGGGGAGCAAACAGGAUUAGAUACCCUGGUAGUCCACGCCGUAAACGAUGUCAACUAGCCGUUGGGGACCUUGAGUCUUUAGUGGCGCAGCUAACGCAUUAAGUUGACCGCCUGGGGAGUACGGCCGCAAGGUUAAAACUCAAAUGAAUUGACGGGGGCCCGCACAAGCGGUG
rnacentral:rRNA from 1 species